CUCAUUCUAGGCCUGAUGCCAUUUUCGGAAGCUCAUCUUAAAUCAUCUGUGGCGAUUACCGUCUUCACCCCUUCCUGAGCCCGAGUCCUGUGAGCCAUGAGUAGUUGCCCCUCCCUGUAAGAGAGAAGAACCACUGAGAAUUCGUGUGGUCCCAGAUAUACAGCAGGUUCCAUUGGCCCCAUACUCCUGAACCUUCUACAUUAGUCGUCCUUGGAGAUCAUCACCUUCCUUCUCACCCACUCACUUAUGAGAACAAGGGAAGUUCGUGCAGCAUGGAAGACGGAUCCAGGAGAGGAGAAGCAGCCACGACUGCAGAGAGUAAAUGUGCACUUCCAUGUCGACUGUGCACGUGUGCACAAACGGGAACAAGAACCUAGACACACAGACGUGUGUCCAAGCAGGUGAGAAGACUCAGACCAAGAGAUGACAGCAAGAGCUGCAAGGCUAUCUGCCUUCAAGGAGAUCAGGGGAAGUCGGUGAGGCUAUGACAGAGCACCCACCUGGUCAGCAUGCCCUGGGGCCAUCUGUGCAGAUGCAGUCACACAGUCUAAAGGGCAAAGUUGAAACCAACACAGACUGUGCAGGGAGGCUGCCCCGCCACAGCAUGGGGAGCCCUGGGAGACUGUAAACAUUCUGUCCUAAGAGAGGAUGCUGGCAUCACCACAGGGGGCUUUCUUCUUUCAGUGGGUACCCCAACCUCAGACGCUAGAACUCGAAGUAUCCAUGAUACAUGAAUUUUUCUCCCCUUUUCUUCUCUCCAUUACGGCAUAGCUGCCUGCUUAGAAUUCUGGGGUGCCCAGGAUGUAGAAAGAAAGAGAAGAAAUCUGUUUCCAUUAGCCCAAGCUCUUCACCUUGAUCCUGACACACACACCCCCUCCUCUCCCUACUCUCCUCAUUCUGUUCUCUUCCUCUCAGAUUAAGCUCUUCCUUUCAGGCCUGUAGGCUACAGAGAGCUGGACUCCUAGGGCAGAUGAGUAACAGUGCAGGCUUGAUGCGGAGGUGGAGGAGGGGAGAGCAGAGGUACCUGUUGGCACCCACACAUCGUCAGGCCAGGGGCUGGGCCAGUCCUUUCUCAGACUGUAUCUUAAGGAUCCCCAUGGCCACCUGUGACCAGCCUGGUAUCUCUAUUUUGCAGCUGAAGACAGUGAGGCUCAGUGACACAAAGCUUCAAGCCCAAGGCUACAUGUCGGGAAAGGAGGGAAUUAGAUUUGACUUAGCAAAGGUUUGUGCAGAAAGAAGCUUCAGACCCAGACAGGGAAGCCAGACACACCAUGUACCCAGAGCCAUCUGAUUGUGUCCACUCUCAUUUUGCCAGUGGGGCUUGUCUCUGCAGCUCACAGGAGAGGAGGGUACCAGAAAAGAUAUCCAGAGAUAGGGGUCUGGCCUGCUGUCUCCAUCUUUACUGAAAGUAAUGUGGGGUCUGGGUCUAAGAAAUAUGUGGCUGGGGAGCUGGAGAGAAGGCUCCGAUCGUAAGAGCAUUUACUGUUCUUUACGGGACCUGGGUUUAGUUCCUAGCACCCAAAUCAGGUGAUUCACAACUGCCUAUGGCUCCAGUUCCAGAGACUCCAA
rnacentral:sRNA from 1 species